AGGAUCAGAUACAGCAGAGGGAGAAAGACUUGCCCGGCUGGUGCUGGCCUUGAAGGUGGAAGGCGCUGUGACCUAAGGAAUGUGGGUGGCCUCUAGGAGCUGGAAAAGGCAAGACGUGGAUUCUCUCCUGGAGCUUCCAGAAGGGCUCCCAGGCCUGCCGACACCUUGAUAUUAGCCCAGCGAGACCCUUUUCAGACUUCUGACCUCCAGAGUUGUGAGAUAAAUCUGUGUUGUUUUAAGCCAUUAAGCUUGUGGUAACUUGUUACAGCACCAAUAGGAAACUAAUACACUACUCGGAAGAAAAGAACUUUGCUCAACCUCUUUUGCUUCCAAGAGUGGCUGUGAUUGAGUUUUGGGGGUAGGUGGAGCGGUUGCAGGCCCAGCUCCCUUCCCUUCUUCAUCUUGUCCAUCCUGCUAUCUAGACGUGGAUGCUGUUUGGACCACAGGCUGAGGCCACGCCCUACAGAAGCUGGAGGAACGAGCUGGAGGGAGCAGAGCCACAGAAGAGCCUUGGAAUUUCUGCCUUCACGUUUUGACUUGAGCUCUGAGACUUACAACUUAUGAUGCAGACUGAACAAAUGUUUAUUGAGUGGCUUAAUGUGUGUGAAUCCUGUGCUAGACGUGUUCCCAUACAUAUAAUCUCUGAUUUAAUAUUUUCAAUGACCCUCGAUUUUCCACGCGAGGGGGCUGAGGCUUGGAGGUGUGAAGUGACUUGACUGAGCUGGUAUUUGUAAUAAGUGGUAAAAACUGCGAUUUCAGCCCAGGUGUUCUCAAUAAGGGGCAAAGCUGAGAUUUGUGACCCCGUGGCUGGAGCCAGGUGUAGCUUAUCGAUGGUGCCGGCCUGGGAUCCUUGAAGCGGACUUGAGAUGAAGCAACAAGAGGCAGGCCCUGAUGAAGACGCCUCCAGGUUAUAAAGGAAGGCCCUUUCUCUUCUGAAAAGUUGUCUGCAGCAAGGACUGGUCAUUAUGCCUAUCCUGGGCGCUAACUGGGGACCCCAGGCCACCUGUUGUGUGUAUCUUUGUGGAAAAUAAUUCUGCCCAAGGCAGGGUAACUCUGAGAACUGAGACACGUGAAUAGUUCCCAGCUGAUGGAACAGCUGAAGCAGUCAAGCCUCCCAGGCCUUGGUUACAGCAACACAGCGCAUAACACGCCAGCGUGACUCCAACUGCCCCGGGGAGUCAGCAGGUUGAUAUUUUCCACCCAACACUUUGACUGCCCAGGCGUCGAUCUUACUAGCACGAGAGUAACUGCUUUGGUUUACUUUAAGAAUUAAAGAAAGACAACCAUGAUCACACCUGAUCGCCCUCUGAAAACAGUGUCUGUUCUUUGAGCUAAAGCAUGGAGUACCUAAUUAAAUUGCAGUCAAGAGAAGGUAUCUGGUUAGGUGAGAGGACUGGUGGAUGGAAAAUUAUGUCUCAGAUUCAUAGGAUGACAGAACUGGGAGGAGCCCUGGAGAUCAUCUGGGUCCUCAGCUUACAGAGGAGGAAACUGAGGCUCUGAGGUCACCCAAGGUCACAUAGCCGCCAACUGGUAAUUCUGGACUUCAAACUCAAGUCUCGUUCUUGGGCAGUUUUCUUUAAUCUACAACAUCCUGCUGUCUUGAAUACCAUUUUGGCUGCAUCAUUCAUGCUGUGUGACCUUACACAAGUAUUUAACCUCUCUGAUCUUUGCUCAUCUGUAAAAUACAGGCAAUCAUAGUUACCUACCUCACGGAGUGAUGGUAAGGAGUAAGUGAGAUUGUAUCUGUAAAGUGCUUUCCAAAG
ensembl:lncRNA